rnacentral:rRNA from 1 species
GGAAGUAAAAGUCGUAACAAGGUCUCCGUAGGUGAACCUGCGGAGGGAUCAUUACACAAUAACCAGGCGGGCUGGACACCCCCCGCUGGGCACUGCUUCACGGCGUGCGCGGCGGGGCCGGCCCUGCUGAAUUAUUCACCCGUGUCUUUUGCGUACUUCUUGUUUCCUGGGUGGGCUCGCCCGCCCUCAGGACCAACCACAAACCUUUUGCAAUAGCAAUCAGCGUCAGUAACAACGUAAUUAAUUACAACUUUCAACAACGGAUCUCUUGGUUCUGGCAUCGAUGAAGAACGCAGCGAAAUGCGAUACGUAGUGUGAAUUGCAGAAUUCAGUGAAUCAUCGAAUCUUUGAACGCACAUUGCGCCCUUUGGUAUUCCAAAGGGCAUGCCUGUUCGAGCGUCAUUUGUACCCUCAAGCUUUGCUUGGUGUUGGGCGUCUUUUGUCUCCAGUUCGCUGGAGACUCGCCUUAAAGUCAUUGGCAGCCGGCCUACUGGUUUCGGAGCGCAGCACAAGUCGCGCUCUUUGCCAGCCAAGGUCAGCGUCCAGCAAGCCUUUUUUUCAACCUUUGACCUCGGAUCAGGUAGGGAUACCCGCUGAACUUAAGCAUA